rnacentral:rRNA from 1 species
AUGAACGCUGGCGGCGUGCUUAACACAUGCAAGUCGAGCGAUGAAGUUUCCUUCGGGAAAUGGAUUAGCGGCGGACGGGUGAGUAACACGUGGGUAACCUGCCUCAUAGAGUGGAAUAGCCUUCCGAAAGGAAGAUUAAUACCGCAUAAUGUUGAAAGAUGGCAUCAUCAUUCAACCAAAGGAGUAAUCCGCUAUGAGAUGGACCCGCGGCGCAUUAGCUAGUUGGUGGGGUAACGGCCUACCAAGGCGACGAUGCGUAGCCGACCUGAGAGGGUGAUCGGCCACAUUGGGACUGAGACACGGCCCAGACUCCUACGGGAGGCAGCAGUGGGGAAUAUUGCACAAUGGGGGAAACCCUGAUGCAGCAACGCCGCGUGAGUGAUGAAGGUUUUCGGAUCGUAAAGCUCUGUCUUUGGGGAAGAUAAUGACGGUACCCAAGGAGGAAGCCACGGCUAACUACGUGCCAGCAGCCGCGGUAAUACGUAGGUGGCGAGCGUUAUCCGGAUUUACUGGGCGUAAAGGGAGCGUAGGCGGAUGAUUAAGUGGGAUGUGAAAUACCCGGGCUCAACUUGGGUGCUGCAUUCCAAACUGGUUAUCUAGAGUGCAGGAGAGGAGAGUGGAAUUCCUAGUGUAGCGGUGAAAUGCGUAGAGAUUAGGAAGAACACCAGUGGCGAAGGCGACUCUCUGGACUGUAACUGACGCUGAGGCUCGAAAGCGUGGGGAGCAAACAGGAUUAGGAUACCCCUGGUAGUCCACGCCCGUAAACGAUGAAUACUAGGUGUGGGGGUUUCAACACCUCCGUGCCGCCGCUAACGCAUUAAGUAUUCCGCCUGGGGAGUACGGUCGCAAGAUUAAAACUCAAAGGAAUUGACGGGGACCCGCACAAGUAGCGGAGCAUGUGGUUUAAUUCGAAGCAACGCGAAGAACCUUACCUACACUUGACAUCCCUUGCAUUACUCUUAAUCGAGGAAAUCCCUUCGGGGACAAGGUGACAGGUGGUGCAUGGUUGUCGUCAGCUCGUGUCGUGAGAUGUUGGGUUAAGUCCCGCAACGAGCGCAACCCUUGUCGUUAGUUACUACCAUUAAGUUGAGGACUCUAGCGAGACUGCCUGGGUUAACCAGGAGGAAGGUGGGGAUGACGUCAAAUCAUCAUGCCCCUUAUGUGUAGGGCUACACACGUGCUACAAUGGCUGGUACAGAGAGAUGCAAUACCGCGAGGUGGAGCCAAACUUAAAAACCAGUCUCAGUUCGGAUUGUAGGCUGAAACUCGCCUACAUGAAGCUGGAGUUACUAGUAAUCGCGAAUCAGAAUGUCGCGGUGAAUACGUUCCCGGGUCUUGUACACACCGCCCGUCACACCAUGAGAGUUGGCAAUACCCGAAGUCCGUGAGCUAACCGCAAGGAAGCAGCGGCCGAAGGUAGGGUCAGCGA